UACGUAGGGUGCAAGCGUUAAUCGGAAUUACUGGGCGUAAAGCGUGCGCAGGCGGUGAUGUAAGACAGGUGUGAAAUCCCCGGGCUCAACCUGGGAACUGCAUUUGUGACUGCAUCGCUGGAGUACGGCAGAGGGGGAUGGAAUUCCGCGUGUAGCAGUGAAAUGCGUAGAUAUGCGGAGGAACACCGAUGGCGAAGGCAAUCCCCUGGGCCUGUACUGACGCUCAUGCACGAAAGCGUGGGGAGCAAACAGG
rnacentral:rRNA from 1 species